rnacentral:rRNA from 1 species
UACGGGGGGAGCAAGCGUUGUUCGGAUUUACUGGGCGUAAAGGGCGCGUAGGCGGUCAGCACAAGUCAGUUGUGAAAUCUCCGGGCUUAACUCGGAAAGGUCAACUGAUACUGUGCGACUAGAGUGCGGAAGGGGCAACUGGAAUUCUCGGUGUAGCGGUGAAAUGCGUAGAUAUCGUAAGGAAGACCAGUGGCGAAGGCGGGUCUCUGGGACGGUACUGACGCUGAGACGCGAAAGCGUGGGGAGCGAACAGG